UGGUCGGUAGCUCAGUUGGUGUAGCACUUGUCUAGCAUACAAGACUCGAGGGUUCGAAUCCAACCUGAGCAC
rfam:Aedes aegypti strain Liverpool supercont1.374 genomic scaffold, whole genome shotgun sequence.